rnacentral:misc_RNA from 1 species
CCGAGUUUACAACUCCCAAACCCCUGUGAACAUACCAUACUGUUGCUUCGGCGGAUCAGCCCGCGCCCGGUAAAACGGGACGGCCCGCCAGAGGACCCCUAAACCCAAAUAUUGUUUUCGUGUAACUUCUGAGUAACCAAAAAAAUAAAUCA